CUUUCAACUCAAACCUGAUAUUUUAAGGCCCGAAAGGGUUCUUUAGAUAUUUUUUGGAAACAGUUGAUGUAUUUAUUCCUUGUGUUAUACUGGGUACUCACUACUUUCUGCAUGUUCUUGGAAAUUUGAAAUUUAAGUUUUGAUAUUGUCAAGACAAGCAUAUAAUAAAUAAGUUGCAAUUUUCUUCCAUUCAGUGAUAAUUUAUUGGCAAUAAAUUAUUUGUGUUGCUGAAAAUUGGACCCAGGGGUGACCGUGAGCCGAGGAGGAGGAGCUUCGGCUGUGAUGCAGUGGCAGGCGGCUGUCUCUGGUGGACCUGCAAGAAACCUUUGGCCGGGGUUCUGGCGAAGGCGCUUCGAUGUUUAAGUCAGAGAGGGAUUUGGAGAUAUUUAAUGGAGAUAAUUGAGAGAUGUUCUUUGGCCAGGGGAGAAGAUCCUCCCUCUUAGGGCUUCCCCCCCUCUUUUUAUAGGAGGGGGUGUAGUGGUUACCUGCAAUCGGGUGUGAUUGUGCGAAUAAAUGAGUUACCGUAAAUGGCCCGAGAUUUUGGACUAGCUGGCGAUCGGUUGAGAUUGUGUGAAUUCAAAUGUUAACAGCUGUUGAGGUGGAGAUUGCGGGAUUUGAUUCCGGAUAAGGAGGACUUGAGGAUUCCUUCAUGUGGGCGUUACGAUGUAGGGGUUGGCUUGAUUUUCGGUGGAGUGGGAGUCGGUUUCUCCCUUUAAUUGGAUUUUUUUCGACCUUAAGGUCAAUCGAGCUUUAGCUCAGCCGAGAAUAUGCCUGCCGAGGUAGCGAGUGCUAUGUUUGUUCAUGCCGAGGUCGUGAGCGCUGAGGUCGGCCGCACUGAGGUCGUAACUGCCGGGAGCAUGCUUGUCGUCGUCAUGCUUGCCACGAGGUUUUGGUGCUUUGACCAUAUGCUCAUCGACUUUUUCCCCCAACACUACCCUCCGACUUUCGAGUUCGAGCCGUCUCCGAGCUCGGGCGAAGGAAGUAGCCAUUUCCGUCAUGUUGACUUUAAAUUAUUUUGUUGUUUCGAAAGGAGGAAAAAUGCGCUUUUUGAGGCGUUUUUAAUGAGAACACGAGGCGGCAGAUUUUUGCUUGUCGAGGUGAUUUUGAGCUACGGAUUCAUGAUGAGACUCCAGUAUUCAAAGAGACGGCCGCUUCGAUUCUGCUUUUAAAGCGACGAUCUACGUUAAUACGCUGGUUCGGUUUCUGAGGGCGACACGUGGCGUGAUCUAGACGGAAGGCGCGGCCUGCUCUCGUCGAUCCGGUCCGUCGGAGGAGUCUAUAUAAGGUCCAAGCCAGCCAUAAGAACCUUUAUUUGGCCGUCGUAGCCUUUGUCUUCUUCUUCUUUCAUUUUCUCCUUUCCCCGAUUGUUAUUUGGUCUUCCUUGGAGGUGCUUGGGGGUGUUUAUUGGCGACUUCUCUUGGUUUUUCAUUUCUGACCGUCAGCCUUUCCAGCGAGGACCACGGUAGGUCUUCUCACUUUCGCUCGGAGGCCUACUUUUCUUUCUUCUUUGCUUCUCCAUUCUUCUUCUUUUCUUCUUUUUUAUACUGUGAGCAAGACAAUGUCAGGCGGCUUUUCUCCCUCUGCUGGGGCUUCUUUUCGUGGGAUGGAGCUCGGGCCAGAGGUGAGCCAUGAUCUGGAUGAGGUUGGGCCGAACCUGACCAAAGAAGAAUUGGGCAUGAUUCGAACCCAAUUUUUCUUCCCACGCGAGUUCGCCUUUGAGCUCGCGGGGCCGUGGGAUCGUGUUACUAGGCCCCCUUCAGGUCGGGUCGGAGUGUACGUGGAAACACUUCGGGCCAGCUUGAGAUGCCCCCCUGCACAGGUUCAUGAAUGAGCUCCUGGAGAGGUAUCGCCUUGUCCCAGCGCAGCUCGCUCCGAACUCGUGGAGGAUAAUCAUGGGCUUCCUGUCCCUUUACUUUGCUCACGGGAUACCGACCUCGGUAAACGUCUUCCACGGAUGUUACAUGUUGAAAUCUAACCUCGCGGAUAGAGGAUUGCUGUACUUUGCCCUUCGGGGAGGUAGGCCGUUGUUCCGAGGUGCUCCUACCUCCAUCCAUGGAUGGAAGGAAAAGUUUUUCUUUCUCUCCUCCGAGUGUCAGUGGGGGUUCAACCCGACGUAGGGCCUGCCGAUACUUAAGGUCAAUAAUAAGGCCCUUGAACUAACCGUGAGCGAGUAGAAAGUCUUUGCGGCUCUUCGCGGUCCUAAGGGGAUAUCCUUUUGAGCGACCUCUUGAGCGAGGUGGUCCUGAUAAACGUUGGCCUGAGUUCGGCGCGCCCUGGGGGUAAGGGCGGUUGCAUUGUUCCUCCCUUCAUUCUAUUGUUCUUCAUUUUAUUUUUUCUAUUUUUCUUCCUUUCUUUAUUUUUAGGGUUGGUCUGACACUUGAGUUUCUUUCUUCAUUUUUCAGAGAAAGAGAGUGGCCGAGGCUGGCGGAGCUCGUUCUUUGUCUAGGAAGAGGCCUAGGCCGACCUCGACUUCUUCCCCUGUCGAGGUCGAGGACCUUGAGGCAGAAACUCCUCAGCUCGUUCGGAAGAGCAGUCAGAAGAGGAUUGGGGAGCCUAGGUCAGAAGAGGCUCCCCCUGCCAAGCGCGCAGCUUCUGCCGAGGCUACAGAAGGAUCAGCGGCCGGUGCCUGCCCGACCUCGGGUCCUCCAAAAGCUCGUAGGUCAUCUGUCUGCGGCACUCAGGACCCGAACCGGACAGCGGUCUCGGGGUCCCAAGUCCUUCGCAUGCUCCGCCGCUGAGCUCUUCAAGGCUCGAUCUUUUGAGCUCUGCAGGGGUCGAUGAUCGCCCUGAGAGGAGGCUCUACUGCCCUGAGUGGUUAGUUUUCGAGGACAACUCGGCUCUCCGCAACAACGAAGUUGCUCGUGAGGUCGUCCGCUGCGCGUUGCUCCCAGUCAACCGAGCCGAGCUCGAAGUCGGUGAGAUCGGCGAUUUCAUCGACCAGGCCUACUGCUCCGUCGUUCGACACCUCCACGUGAUCGAUAUGUUAGCCUCUGCAUCGGUUAACUAUCAGGAUCAGGCUUGGAAGAGUCAAAAGGAGCAGGAGCUCGCCGAGAAGCUCGCCGAAGCCGAGGCCAAGCGAAUGGAGGCCACUGCGAGGAUGGACGCUGCCGUGGCCGAGCUUAGGUCCAAGGCUGAGCACCUUGAUGAGGAGGCCUCACAUGCUCUGACUAGGUCGGAGCUCCGUGGCUCUGAGGCAUGUUUGGCCGACGCCCGUUCUGAGCUCGCAGGCCAAAAGUACGAGGCGGGGGUCCUCCGGCUGAAGAUUGUGCAACUUGAAGCUUGAGAGAGGAAGGCACUAGAGCACGCUCGGAACGCGGUGCAGAUCUUCCGCAAGUCGGCCCAGUACCGGGAAGAGUUGGAGGAGGAGGCGGUCGAUGGGCUCAUCCGCGGCUUUGAGGAUUUUCGGGCUUAGGUGCGGAGGAUUUGCCUUAAGCUCGCUUCAGCAACCUUCGACCUCGGUUGGGGUCCACUGAAGAUGAGGAUGUUUCGAACAGCCUUGCCCCUGUGCCCGUCGAGCCCGAGUCCGAGGUAGUUCCCGGGCAGCCAGUGAAAUUUUACCUGAGGCUGCCACAGUGAACGCUCCCGAGGCUGCUCCAGCAGAGGAUCUCGAGGCGGUUCUUGCGGAAGAACCCGAGGCCGGUGUCGAGAUCAUCGCCACCCCGGAGAUAUCUUAGGGCUUAGCUUUUCCUUUCUUUUCUUUUUGUAAACGAGGUCAGUCACUGAAGCCAUUGUGCGGCUAAGUGGGUUGGCUUCAGAGCCAAUAUUUUGUACUCAGCCUUCCAGCUUUUUAUCAAUAAAACUUCA